rnacentral:rRNA from 1 species
GGAUCGAACGGCGUGGCGGCGUGCCUAAUACAUGCAAGUCGAACGGCGAGCAGCAAUGCUCGAGUGGCGAACGGGUGAGUAAUACAUAAGUAACCUGCCCUAGACAGGGGGAUAACUGCUGGAAACGGCAGCUAAGACCGCAUAGGUAUGGACACUGCAUGGUGACCAUAUUAAAAGUGCCAAGGCACUGGUAGAGGAUGGACUUAUGGCGCAUUAGCUGGUUGGUGAGGUAACGGCUCACCAAGGCGACGAUGCGUAGCCGACCUGAGAGGGUGACCGGCCACAAGGGGACUGAGACACGGCCCUU